rnacentral:rRNA from 1 species
AUUGAACGCUGGCGGCAGGCCUAACACAUGCAAGUCGAGCGAGCGGCGGACGGGUGAGUAAUGUAUGGGGAUCUGACCGAUAGAGGGGGAUAACUACUGGAAACGGUGGCUAAUACCGCAUACUAUCGGUUGAAGCGAUAUGGGAUUAGCUAGUAGGUGGGGUAAAGGCUCACCGAGGCGACAAGCGCUAGCUGGUCUGCGAGGGUGAUCGGCCACACUGGGACUGAGACACGGCCCAGACUCCUACGGGAGGCAGCAGUGGGGAAUCUUGCACAAUGGGCGCAAGUCUGAUGGAGCCAUGCCGCGUGUAUGAAGAAGGCUUUAGGGUUGUAAAGUACUUUCAGCGGGGAGGCGUUACCCGCAGAAGAAGCACCGGCUAACUCCGUGCCAGCAGCCGCGGUAAUUC